rnacentral:lncRNA from 1 species
GCUGCCUUCCCUGCGCGCUCUCCAGGAGAGAGGCGGCUGCUCCUUCCCUUGAGAUGGCAAGUGAUGGAGCCGGGAGUCCGUGCCAGCCAGCCCAAGAAAUCUGGACCCUGGAGAUCUUUCCUCAGUGACGUGGCUGUUUGGACACAGCCUUCUCCUCCUUCUGCUGCAAUAGCAAUGCUAGUGUCCCCAUGCAGCUGCAGUGAGGAGCUCUUGGCUUGGGCAGGAGCAAACCCUGGGCUCGGCGUAGCCGCGCCGGUGGCUAUGGAGUGAUCUGUGCUCUGGGUGCGUGGGCACAGCGGGGAGGCUGAAGCUGGCUGC